CCCUCUGCAGAUCCCCUCACUUUACAAAAUCUGCAGACGCAGGUUUGGAGUUGGUGGAGAACGUCUGUGCAGCUGUCAGGAUCAUCAUCCGCCAGAUUCCCCCGUCACGAGUGCUGCGGGAGGUCAUUGAGAAGCCGUGACCACAAGAUGACCCUUGAGGUGGACUCAUUCCAUUUGUCCUGGUAUAAUGUCAUCAGUCAUCAUUUUAAAAUGUAAGCAUGUAUGUCACAGAAAUAAUCAAAUUCCUUUGUCAAUUGCAAUACAAUGAACUCUCACCACGUC